GUUUUGUCUCUCUCUCCUAUUGUGCCCAAUACAUUGUAACUCCUGGGUAAGGGAAGAGGGUGAAACGCCCUCGCGGUCCCGCCGCUGUAAAUGGGGACGAAACCCGCGACGGCCACUGGCACGGCCGUGAAGCGUUGUUCGUGAAGCGUGAAGCGCCUGCAUGUUCACGCGAAAUACGAUUCACGAGAUACGUUUCACGCUCAUGCUGGGAAGGCGCGGGAAGUAGGGUGAACCAUGAGCCAGAAGACCUGCCAGGAACGGGAGCCUGCC
rnacentral:ncRNA from 1 species